rnacentral:rRNA from 1 species
GGUGAACGCUGGCGGCGUGCCUAAUACAUGCAAGUCGAGCGAACGGACGAGAAGCUUGCUUUUCUGAUGUUAGCGGCGGACGGGUGAGUAACACGUGGAUAACCUACCUAUAAGACUGGGAUAACUUCGGGAAACCGGAGCUAAUACCGGAUAAUAUUUUGAACCGCAUGGUUCAAAAGUGAAAGACGGUCUUGCUGUCACUUAUAGAUGGAUCCGCGCUGCAUUAGCUAGUUGGUAAGGUAACGGCUUACCAAGGCAACGAUGCAUAGCCGACCUGAGAGGGUGAUCGGCCACACUGGAACUGAGACACGGUCCAGACUCCUACGGGAGGCAGCAGUAGGGAAUCUUCCGCAAUGGGCGAAAGCCUGACGGAGCAACGCCGCGUGAGUGAUGAAGGUCUUCGGAUCGUAAAACUCUGUUAUUAGGGAAGAACAUAUGUGUAAGUAACUGUGCACAUCUUGACGGUACCUAAUCAGAAAGCCACGGCUAUCUACGUG